CUUGCCUUCCCCCCGGCCUCGCUCUUUCGCCGCGCUCCGAGGGCUACAGCUGUCAAGGGGGAGAGAAGCCAGAGCAACAAAGAACAUGGCGAGGCUUUGCGAGCAGCACUCCUGGGAAAUACUUUCAACUAGAAAUGGGCUGAAGUAUGGCAACAGCAAUCAAAUUUGCUGUGAUCUUGGCUCCAAAUUGAUCCAGAACAAUUCUAAGUGACAGGCAGUGUAAACAUCCUACACUCUCAGCUGUGGAGAAAAGAAAGCUGGGAGAAGGCUGUUUACGCUUUCUGCCUUGGGAUGCUGCUGAAAGAGCAGGGGGGAGGCGGGCAGAUCCUGCACGUUUUGUCUAAGCGUACGCUCUGAAUUUGUUUAUUUCCAGUGCGUGUUUCUGCGUGUCUGUAUCGAUGCCAGAUAAAACAAACUGGGGAAAAGCUUUAAUUAGAAAAAUUAUUGUCCCCCUUUCACUAUAGGUAAAGUUACCCUUUAUAAUGGGUAUAGUUUCCUGAAAGAACUAAUUGCUUAAGUAAUGAAAGCAGCAGCAGCUCCUAUCUAAAACCAUUUUAGCUGCGGGAAAACCUUUGAAACUGAUCUCAACAGGACACAGCUGAAAAUUUAGGUGGUAGUACUGGAAUAUCUGUGAUUACCCUCUUUACCUUGAGAGGAAACCCCCAGUGGCAGCCGUGAAGGUAAAUGCUUCAGAAUUCACCUGUCCCAAAUGCCUGGGUAUGAAUCAAAUGGACUGGAUUAAAAUCACCCCUCCUGUCCCUCUUUUGUUGCAAUUAUAAAACACAGAAGCAGAAAACUGGCUCACCUGCAGUUGCAAAUAGAUCAGAACAGCAUUAUGAUCAAACAUAGCGAACGUUUUCAAAAGCUCUAAAAAUCCAGCCAAAGAAAGAUGUGCAUGUGGGCACCCAAUUCAUUUUACUGAGAUUAUUGCUGAUCACCAUACAAUCAUUUUUAACCAUGUUGAAGAGGGAAGUGAACAUUUCAAUACAAAAUUGCUCCCAAAUAUUAGAAAUACUUUUGGUGCACAAUGCACACAGACAAAACUUAACUUUAAACUUUUAUUGUGUUUACAAUGAAGCCAGUUUGUGUGUGAAACACACACACACACACCCUUCGUUAUCCGCUGAACAUUUACUCCACAGUUGACUUCAAAAGGAGUCACAGUAAAAGGCCUGUCCCACAAACCGGGUCAUUCUCUUCCUUUGUCAAGAUUCCUCAGGAACUGAACAAUCACUAGCAGGCCAGGAAUGGGCCUGGAAACAAGGUUGUAAAUCCUUGCUGUUAUCCAUGCAGAUUCUUUUAGGAAUGUCUUUUUGGGCUUCAACUGAAAACAUUUCAUUCAGUCUGCUCAGGAAACUCCGGAGACUGACAAGUCAAGCAUCAACUUCAAUUUGCCUUUAACAUUAUUCACUUUUAAUCCCCCUCUCACAACCACUUGAAAGGGUUUGGCAGUUUAAAAGAAAAAAAAUCCUGCCAGUUAUUUUCCCCCCUGCCCCCACCAGUGUACUGAAGGUUUAAAACUCCCAUUUCCUUUCCAACAGAGAUGAAGUUCUACAACAAAGCCUCCAGGAAAUAGCAAGUUCAGAACCUAUAAGAGGCACUCAUCCCAAACAAAACUUUUAGACUGUUUUCCUUCACUUCCCUGAGGAACAAAUCACCACAGUGAAUAUUUAAUAAAAUCACAUGUGUGGGAUAAAUGGCAUGAUACUACCUCAAAUGACGUGAAAUGAGAAGGGAACAGACCUGACAUUCUAUUCCAGAAAGUGCUGGGAAAUUUGUAGAGCUUACUUGUCAGAACUUAACAGCACGAGUCAAACACUGUAAAGGCCAGGCCAUUCUUGGGUUUCCUGUUCUUCCGGUUCUGGAAUACAUGCUAUUUGGAAAGUCUCUGAUGUAGUUCUGUUUAGCAGAGGAAGUGCCAGGAAUACAGAAAUAUAGCAUACAUGUAAACACAAAUGACUCUCAAAUAGAACUUCAGGUUAGUAGAAAUACUGCUCUAGAGAGGGGACAGUUCCAAGUCCCAGUUAUAGCAGUGCACAGUGGCUGCUUCCACACACAAAGGAUAAUGCACUUUCAAUGCUCUUUAGUGAUCAUUUGGAACUGGGCUUUCAUGUGUGAAAUAAAAAAUCCACUUCCAAAGGAUUGCUAAAGUGCAUUGAAAGUGCAUUAUCUAACGUAUGUGGAAACAGCCGCAGUAUUGAAGCAGAAUACCCUCUUAUCUUAUGUAUUUUAAGAAGCCAUUUUAAUCAGCAGGUAUGUAUUACUAAUUUUUAUUUAUUUUAAAUUCUGCAUUUUCAUACAAUAACCUCCAAACAAUUUACAAAUUGUGUAUUUUAAAAAUCUAAAGUCAGUUUUACUCAUGGAUAAGAUUCAGAAGGUAAUACUGGGUGAUUAUUGCUUUGCCCCUUGGUCAACAGGAUGCUUAAAACUCCCAUGCUUUUCAGCUUCUGUACCAAACUUCUGAGAGAGAUCAAGCAGAGAUCUGGAGCGCAGUAAUUCCCAAUUCUAUCUUUCUUUUCCAUCUGAUUCUAGGGAGCCAGUAGAAACCCUUAAUCAGAGUUUGUCAUUAGUGAAGGGCUGGAAUGUGAAAAAAAUAAGCUGAAACUUAAUCCAGACAAGACAAAUAUUUUGGAUCAGGACUAAAACUGAUCUUUUACUAGGUGUACAGCCUGUUCUGGAUGGGGUUACACUCCCCAUGAAGGUAUCUGGAUAGCGAUCUGGAGCUAUACCUAGCUUUGUAGAUGGAGGAAGCCAUAAGUGCUUUUUAGCAUCUUAGAUCUGCCUGGCCAGUUGCAGCCAUUGUUAGAGAAAAUAAAUCUGGCCUUAGUAACACGUGUCCUGGUAACAUUCAGAUAAGAUUAAUGCAACUCAGUUUGUUCAGGGAUUCCUUUGAAAAAUGUCUGAAAACUUCAGUUACUCUGAAAUGCAGCUAUUGUAACAGGACUACCUCUUUGAGGAACACUUACAGGUAUUCCAGCUAUGCUACCGGCUAUUCUGUUGGUAGGCCUCAUUCCAAGUGCCAGUGAUGACCUUUAAAGGCCUAAGUGGCUCACUACCAAGAUACCUGAAGGAUCACUCCACAUAUGAACCUAAUGUCUUGAGAUCUACUGAUAGUGACCUGCUCCAAGGGCCUACAAUAAGAAUGGUUGGCACAUGGGACUAGACCUUCGUGGCCCUGAUAUCCAACUUCUGAAUAUAUGUUCUGCAGGUUUGACCUAAUCACUUGCUUCAGAGGGGUUGCAAAGACCAUUUUAUUUUAUGUCCAUGUUGUAAAUGCCCCUAUAGCUAUUUUUUAUUGUUCCACCUGCUGUUUUAUUCAUUGUCAAAUUUGUCUGUGAUUUUUAAAGCUGCUUUAUACUUGCUGUGAUUAAUCUACUAUUAAUUUUACUUGUUUCAACUAUUAAAAUUGUUGAUCAUGUAUAACUUUUCUGUUUUAAUUCAGUUCUUUAGCCUCAAGGUUGUUAUCCUGACUUGGAUCUUGUUAGUUACCUUCAGCUCUACAUAAAUGUCCCAGCUUACCAUUUCUCCUAAUCACCCCUUAAAGAGUUUUCCCCAUUCCUGUGGAGUUCCAAACGUGUUUUCAAAGACUAAACACACACUAGGUGGGUAAGUUGGCAACCCCACUCUGGCAGCAUAGAAAUUUGGUCUGGAAAAGCCUCUGAC